CCCCUAAAAAUUUCUGCUGUAGUAGUGGCUAUACCGUAUCCAUGCUUGGUAGGGCGGCAAAGCUUCAGCCACCUUGCUGCAAACUCCUAGGAAAAUGGGAAUCCAUUGCAUUGCGACGUGCUUAGGCUGGAGUACCUCUGGAGCUGAACAGCUGCUAGAGUGGCCAGUCCCAUGGAGCUUAUGGAGCAAGAUGGCAUGUCCCAUCGAGCUAUGGCCAAGUGCUGUCGGCAGCAAACGCUCUGCUGCAUGUAGGAGGCAUGAUAAGUACACGCAAAAUACUCCCCAACUAUUUCCAAAAGAGACCCCUAAUUUGCAUGAUGGUCAAUAUUUGAAAUGUAAAUAUAUGUUUAAAAUGAUCAAAACAUUUACAUACCACUACUAUUCUGGAUCAUCAUUAAGUUUUGUAGAAAAUUAAGUGUGUCCGGCUUCAGAUAAUCAGUAAUACAGGUGAAUCAAUUGUUACAAAGGUAUAGCACAUGUCCAAAUCCUAGUAAUGAAACAUGCUUUUUGAGAUGAAUAAAGUGAUAGACAUGUAACAAGAACACUCUAACAUUCAGCAUACCAAAGAUAAACAACAUACUAAUAAAAGAACAGGAAGCAGUUCAAAUAUUCAAAAUAUAUUGCAGCUUGUGUAAUUAUUUAAAAGAUUUUUAGAGAAUAUUUUUUGAGAGAUGAAUUA
rnacentral:lncRNA from 1 species